AACCAUAGAAACCUGCGGAGUACCUGCGGAAGGAUCAUUAUAGAAUUUCCACAACAGAAAAGGUUCUUUCUUUUCUUCUCUUCUUUUGAGAGGGGAGGGAGGUUUCUUUUCUGAACAAACAAACAAACAUGACUAGGAAAAUGAAAUGGAAUGGUUUGGGGGGAUCAGCUUGUUGGCUUGGCUUGGCUGUGUGUGUGUGUGUGUAUGCUUCGUUUGCGAUGCUGCACUCUGCACUCUGCA
rnacentral:misc_RNA from 1 species